rnacentral:lncRNA from 1 species
AUUGGGAAAGGCACGCAGCAAGACAAGAAGCAGUGGCUGAGUGGUGACCUGUCAAUCAAACCAAGGUUCCAUUUGGAAUGUUACUGGGAAACAGUUGAAGGCAAAAGCCAACUGUGGCUGAACUCUGGACUUGACUUCUGCUGGUUGUCAUAUACCAGGAUGGUGAGACCAAGUUUAAGAUUUCAUUAAAAGAAAUUCCUGAAGAAGCAAAAUUGCACAUGACUUCAUGAGGGGGAUUCUAGAAGGGAACAGUAACCAGGAACUUGAGUUUGGAAGACCUCUAAAAAAUAUAGAAGUUUAAAAAUUCAAGAAGGAAAACUUACAAGGGAAAAAACUGAAGAGAGAAAAAGAAAAGAGACUGAAGGCAAAUGAUAACCAAGGACAAGCAAAUUCCUUCAGGAGAGAAAACAGAAAUAUAAAAAAUUUAUUUCAUUUCAAAGAAUCCAUAUCAAGAUGAACCAGAAGAAAAACUCAAAUCAGAAAAAUUUGCAAGAAAAAGCAGCACACACAUUAUAACCUGAUUCUGUAGUCUUUUGCUUUAAGGGUCCAGUUUCAAAAAAAGGUGGCAGAUUAGAGAGGCAGUGG